rnacentral:rRNA from 1 species
AAACUGCCUGAUGGAGGGGGAUAACUACUGGAAACGGUAGCUAAUACCGCAUAACGUCGCAAGACCAAAGAGGGGGACCUUCGGGCCUCUUGCCAUCAGAUGUGCCCAGAUGGGAUUAGCUAGUAGGUGGGGUAAUGGCUCACCUAGGCGACGAUCCCUAGCUGGUCUGAGAGGAUGACCACCCACACUGGAACUGAGACACGGUCCACACUCCUACGGGAGGCAGCAGUGGGGAAUAUUGCACAAUGGGCGCAAGCCUGAUGCAGCCAUGCCGCGUGUGUGAAGAAGGCCUUCGGGUUGUAAAGCACUUUCAGCGAGGAGGAAGGUGGUGAACUUAAUACGUUCAUCAAUUGACGUUACUCGCAGAAGAAGCACCGGCUAACUCCGUGCCAGCAGCCGCGGUAAUACGGAGGGUGCAAGCGUUAAUCGGAAUUACUGGGCGUAAAGCGCACGCAGGCGGUUUGUUAAGUCAGAUGUGAAAUCCCCGGGCUCAACCUGGGAACUGCAUUUGAAACUGGCAAGCUAGAGUCUCGUAGAGGGGGGUAGAAUUCCAGGUGUAGCGGUGAAAUGCGUAGAGAUCUGGAGGAAUACCGGUGGCGAAGGCGGCCCCCUGGACGAAGACUGACGCUCAGGUGCGAAAGCGUGGGG